rnacentral:tRNA from 1 species
AAAGGGAGACCUAAUUCAGGUAAAAGACGAAAAAAAAGUAGUCGCUACCAAGAAUCAAUCCCAAAAGGUCGGAGCGAGGCGAAAUUGGCUUUCAAACUAGGUUCUGGGUUCAAACAAGACCUGAAUCAGGAACAAGGGCUAUUAGCUCAGGUGGUUAGAGCGCACCCCUGAUAAGGGUGAGGUCCCUGGUUCGAGUCCAGGAUGGCCCACCCGCACAGGUGGCAAAAACAAGAGAAGCGAGGAAUCAGCACCUUAUCUUACUUAUAUAGUAAGAGAGAAUGCUGGCUCUGAGUAAAGAGUCCAGAGGAACCUUGAAAACUGCAUAGAGCUAGGUGAAAAAGCCAAAAAAGAAGACCGCAAG